rnacentral:lncRNA from 1 species
CAGUCACAUAUAACAUGUAAAGUUAAUGUUAAAGAGCAAAUAUAGCGUCUAGCCAUUAGAAAUGAUAAAUAUAUUCAUCCAAACAGCUCGAAUAAACACAUGAGCUAGCCGCCAAGCCAACGGCCGCCAAAAAAUAAACAAACAACUGUGUUGAACAAAGAAUUAAGCAGAUUAAUUUUAACUAUCAUAUAAACAAUACACAAUUUAAGCUUGUUAAUCUAGCAUGCAAGAAAUAAUAUCAAGCAAAAACUAAAUAAUUAAAGCAAGCAAGGAAGAAACAAUAUCAACCCUGAACAUAAACUUUUCUCCAUACAAGAAACAAUAUCUCAUAUGAAAAGAAACCGCACCCAACAGUGUGAACAAUACUCACUGAAAAGAGUCCCUUACCUGCAAUAUAAAAUAAAAAUAUUAGUACAUAUUAAUAUAAAUAAACCUAACUACAUCUUAACCAAACAAUCUUAAAUAAUACCAAUACAUAUUAAGGAAAAUAAAAUAAAAAUAAUCCAAAUUUUAGUAUGGAAGAAAUAAUAUCAACCAUAAACUAAAAAAAACCAAAGGAAGUAUGGUAGAAACAUGAAAUUCAACCAUAUCUAAUCCCUUAACUCCACUUGAGAAAUUCAUCUCAAAUGACAAGUUAACCUAUCUAAAUUAAAUGAGCAACCCUUCUUUUAAAAUAUAAACCUAACUGCCUUGUACCUUCACAAUUGAGAUGUAACCCAC